AGUACUGACCGUGUAUCUUCAAUCUUGUGUGGUUGUGUUUUCGCUAUUGAGCAAAAUGUCUCAGGUGUAUGAAAACAUCUUUCGUGACGCUCUGAAAGAUUUCGGAGUUUCAGAGGAUGGCCUGAUUUCAGGCUACUGUAAUUCGUUGGAGGAGGUGGAAACACUUCUCGAUCAGCUGAAAACUGUGGGGUUUUCAUACUGCGUGAGAAGUAGUCGUUUUAAAGAGCCAUCUUCAGAUGUUAUGAAAAGUAAAACAAAGCAUUUCUUCAAGCAAAUGCAGGGACAUGUCCCUAUCCCCUUUUUUGGUUGUGCAUUUGCAGUGGAGAGUGUUUGGUCAAGGCACUGUGUUUUGGGGCCAAAAUACUAUAAAAGUAAAGAGUCUAGUGUACCUGAGCACUUGGAAGACCAUGUGACUCCUCGUAAGAGAUUGAGGAUCAUGGAUACUAGAAAAUCCAACUGCCCAGCAACUUUAAAUAUGAAGUGUAUAAGGGUGUAUCCUGAUUACAGUAUGCACUCAGCAACUGAACACAGGGAUACCAAGGCAAAAGUUCUUGCAAGUCUACAGAAAGAUUUGGCAUUGCCAUGCCCGCCGAAGAGCUACCUACGUUAUUAUUUGACUGCUUCCCCAGCAAGUGCACACACACAUGCUACUGAAAGUGUUGAAGCAAGUGGGUACAUACAUCCUUCACUUGUAAAGGAAAUCAAAAACUUAGUACUCAGUGGAAUGACAUCUCUCAAAGUCAUUAAGUUGGCUCUAGAUAGAUUUGUUGAAAUCAAUUUCACUGGGACACACAUACCAGGUCAAAUGAAUACUACCUUUUACCCCACAGAGAAAACUAUUUACAGUCACAUAUAUCGGACCCUUUAUGGUACGAAUAAAGUAUUGUUUGACGAGACUAGACUGCAGAAUCAGGUUGAUGAGUGGCACAAAGACUCGAGCAAUCACAUGAUUUAUUAUAGACAUUGUAUGGGAGCCAAUGGAGAAGUGAAACCAUUACUUUUUUGCUAUCAGAGCAGUUGGCAGAGAGAUCUUUUGAAGAAAUAUGGGGGUAGUUGUUUGUUAGAUGCAACAUACAAAACAACAUCAUAUGAUAUUCCUUUAUUUUUUAUAGCUGUGAAGAGUAAUGUGGGCUAUUUGGUUGUUGGUUUUUUUUUCAUUCAAAUUGAAAAUGCAAGAUCCAUUCAUGAAGCACUAGACAUUUUCAAGGACUGGAACAAGGAUUGGAAUCCCCUCUAUUGGGUUACUGAUUUCUCGGAGUCGGAGAUAAAUGCAAUUGAGCAAGCAUUCCCUCAGACAAAAGUUUACUUGUGCCUUUUCCAUCGAAAACAGGCAUGGGGAAGAUGGUUGAAAAAAAAAGGAUAAUCUAAGUGUACCAAAUGACAUGAAGACAUUUCUGGACAUGUGGCAAGAAAUUUCAGAAUCACCAACAGAGAGAGAAUUUAGAGAUCACGUAGAAGAGUUGCGAACGCAUGAGGUUUCUCGGAGAAACGAGCGUGCAUGGCCAUACUUUCAACAGCAAUGGCUAACGGUAUGUGAAAGAUGGGUGAAAGCGUAUGAGGACAAGGGCAGAUUUGCAACCAUUGACACUACAAAUGGAGUUGAAGCCAUGAACAAGGUUGUAAAACAUUUCUUCCUUAAACAUAAUUCAGACAGGACUUUAACUGGGGUUACUAAGGUUAUAAUAAACCAGUUUCUUCCAAGCCUAAUUAGAAAGUACUGUCUGCAGAAUUCUGCCAUCAAAGCUUAUAACAAAGAUGUUCCACUGUUUUUGCAUAAAAAAACAAACAAGUUUGUGAAACAUGUCAUGCAGCGAUAUGCAUCAGCGAAAGUUGAGUUAACUGCAAGAUCAGUGAGUAGGAGAUCGGAUGGUUCAUUUUGUGUGGAGAGUGCAAAGUCCAAAAACUGUAGUUAUGUUGUAAACUUUGAUAUACCAGACUGCACAUGUGAAGAUUUUCAGAGAUAUAAAUACCCAUGCAAGCAUUUCUGUGCAAUCUUUAUUUUUUUACCCAGAGUGGGGUUUUGAUAAAACGCCAGAAAGCUAUAAGACUAGUCCACUAAUCUGUCUUGAUGAAAUGUAUGGGGUGGGCUUUAGAAGUGGCUCUUUAGUAAUUUCAUGCGAAGGUAGUAGUAGUGAUGAAGCUGUUGAGGAGGCAGUUGAAGUAGCUGAGGAGGCUGUCGAGGUUGAGGAGGCUGUCGAGGUUGAGGAGGCUGUCGAGGCAGCAAAUACAGAUGGUCUUAUUCAAACCCAGAAUAUUCCUUUGCAGCAGUUUGAAGCAAGGGAGCUGUGUAAACAAAUUUAUAAUCUCACAUACAACUGCAGCAACAGUGAAACAUUACAAAAAGUACUUGAAUCACUGAGCAACUGUGUGCAAGAUUUGCAAUUAGCAAAUCCUGAAGUUGGUGGUCUCCCAUUAGCAGUGCCAUCAACUUCCAAACAAUAGCGAAGAAUGAUGCCAAAAGCCUUAAGAGAUCUUUCUUAAACACAUUAUAACUUUCCAUUUGAAGGGUAUGAAAUGACGGUUUAUUUGAAUUUUAGAUAGCUCUUUGUCUAUGUAAAAUACGAAUAAGCUCCAUCAUUUCUGAUCCUCGAGAUGGAAUGCUAUGAGGUCUUUAUGUUGGUCUCUGCUUUUAAACUUUGUUGCACAUUUGAAUUUCGAAGUAGCAAUAGAUAAAAUAUUAUAAAAAGGAUAGUCGCUACAUUUGUGUGUGUGUUUGUGAGUGAGUGUGCGCGUGCGCUUUAGAAAAGGCCCUUGUUGCCUGAAAGAUAAGUCCAACAGUCUUUUUGUUGUGCCUUUCUGUGACUCAGCAUCUUCACUAUUUGGUGAGCAGCAACAACUCUCCUUUUCAUAAUAUUGUUACAUUCCAUCCUGGAUUUUUUUAUUUUCACCAGAGAAAAGAUUUUUCUGAGGAAUUAAACUAGAUGAUAGUGUAGAACUUGCAAACUUUUUAAAAUAUGAAGUAAAAGAUUUUAACUUUAAAUUAGGUUAAUUCAAAUAUGGGACAAUGUUGAGAAUUGAAAAGGUGAAAAAAAUAAAUAAGAUAUAUGUUAGUGGCAUUGAGAUUUCGUAUGACUGAUGGAGAAAAGAUUUUGCAUUUCUUUUUACAAGUAAGAAUGCACUUGCUCUCAUACAUGUCUAGUGAUUCACGUGAAACAGAGAAAAAGAUAAAGACUGCCCUGUUAAUGAACAUGUGAGAUUGCCCAGUAUCACUCUGACAGAAGAGUGUGCUGUUUCCUUGAUAUGGUAUCUGGUCAGCAAUGCCAUUGGGACCAAAUGAAAGUUACGGCAGUUACCACACAGAAGCAAUUACUGUUACUGGAAUACCAGUAAUGUUUAUUAAAUUCAGUUAUAAAGUAGUUCUGGGCAUUGCAGCUGGUGAGCAAUGUCAUUGGGCACCAAAAGAAGUUCAGUUACGAUGGAUUUCUGGCCUUCAGUCUAUGGGAAAAUUCACACCAGAUUGCAUCAAGACUGUUAUAUUCCAAGGAUAUCUUGGAAGAUUGAUAGUAUUCUUGAAGGAAAACAAUCCAUGUAGUAUUUCACGUGUGUAUCAAACUGCCAUUUGUUGUGGCACAUAAAUGUUUGCAACUUGAUUGUAAUUUUUGACAGGUUUCUCAACAAUCCAAGAAUUUCUUGUAAUGAGAAGUAGACAUUGUUGCUUGGGUAAAGGAAAUACAAAUCACGGUCAAUACAACUACCUUAUUAACUUUCCACAGAUAAAUAUUUUUCACUACUGCUACUUAAAAAUUCAAAUGUGUGACAAAGUUUGCUUACAGAACUUGGCAUAAAGAUCUCCCUUAUUUGUAUUUUUUAGAUAGCUCUUAUUGUUUGAUCCUUCAAAUGGAAUGCUAUGACCUCCAUGUGAUCUAUUCCUUAGUAGUUAAUUAUCCAUUAAGGCACAAAUAUAUGAACAUUACAAUGAGAGGGGUCUUUAUGCCAGGCCCUGUAAAAGUAAUGGCAUCUUACUUAAUAUUAUUGUUGGGAAUUUGAUGGCACAGCUGUGGGGAGACCACAAAUUUCAGGGUUUGCUAACUGCAAAUCUGGCACACAGUUGCUGAGUGAUUCAAGUACUUUUCAUAAUGUUUCACUGUUGAUACAGUUGUAUGUGAGAUUAUAAACCUGUUUGAACAACACCUUCACUUCAAAUUGCUGCAAAGAAAUGGUUAAGGUAUCAGUGUGAUGCUCUGUGUGUUUCCUCAACUGUGUCCUCAUUGCUACUAUCUUCAUGUGAAAUUACUGCACACACACUUCUGAAACCAAACCUGUACAUCUCGUGAAGACAGAUUAAUGGGCUAUUCCUGCAGCUUUCUGGUAUUUUAUCAAAACCCCACUCUGGAUAGAAAAUAAAGAUUGCAAAGAAAUGCUUGCAUGGGUAUUUAUAUAUCUUAAAAUCUUCACAUGCGCAGUUUGGUAGAGCAAAGCUUACAACAUAAUUACAGUCUUUGAACAUUGUACUCUCCAUACAAAACAUUGUCCAACUUCACAUUCACUAAUCUUGCAGUUAACUCAACUUUCCCUGGUGCAUAUCACUGUAUGACAUGUUUCACAAACUUCAUUUAAAAAAAAAAAUGAAAAAACAGUGGAACAUGUCUGUUAUGAUUUGAUGGCAGAAUUCUGCAGACA